UUAUGAGUGUGAAUGUCCCUCUGGUAUCUUUCGCCUCUCUUUUCCAACUGAUUUUUAUAGUGUUCUAAUGAUGUGCUGUUACACCACUUCCCUAGGUCAGGGGGAUGAUUGGGCGCUGACAAACAAGUUGUGGAUGUUUAUAAUUCAGAAAAGGCUUUCGUUACGAAUCUGGCAGACCCAUUAAAAUAAAGUUAUUUGUAAUGACACUUAUGAAAUACGUAUAUAUUCAUUUUGUCUGUGUAAUUGUCACAAUCCUGAUUUGGUUCUGUGUCCUGUGAUAAUUCAGAUAAAAAUGAUGGCAAAUAAUUGCUUCCCCGUUGCAUAUAUAGAUGCCCUAUGGUAAAACAACAUUUCAACCCCGUUCUGUUAAUUUCAAGCUAUACUGUCUGAUUAAUUUUUGAAUGUAAAAAAAUCGUUCCAUAGUGAACAAACAAAUUUUGUUACUUAAACAUACAUUUAAUGACUGCUGGUUCUGUUAAAAUUACUCUCAUAAGUCUUUGAUGAUAAAUCAAUAAAUUUCACAGUUCAAUUCAUUUCAGUAACAUUCAGGUCCCCAUGCUUUGUAUAUUAAACUAAAGUUAUUUCGGUUAAUUCCAUAAUUGGGAAGUUGAUUAUCAGUGAUAAUUCAUAACAAUACGUUUAAAUUACACACACUUCAUACAUCAUUGACAUUGUUUAUGCUUUAUUAUUUAGGCCCACUGUUUAUUUAUAGAACAAAAGACAUUUUAUGUUUUGUCAUUUGAACAUACGUUCUGCAGUUUGUUUUAUGCAUCAGGUUAUUUUAAUAUAUUUAUAAGGCGUGUUGUCCGUGUGUUACUUGUCAUUGUUUUGAAUGCACAUUGAUUGUACAUAAUUCACAGUGCAGAGCUUGCAAAGUAAUUUGCACAAAACUUCGAACUGGUCAUUAUUCCAUCGAUAUAUUUUUUCUCUCAUCAGUGGAAAAUGUUUACAGGUUCAUGUAACAAUCGAAUAAAUGUUGAUGUUUAAUUUUAGAUUGACAUAAUCACUAACCAAAAUAAGUUUAUGGACCUCACACAAUGAACCUAUGGCAGAUUCAUUAAAUACAUUUGAAGACUGUUGCGUGGAUUCAUAAUGUGAAUUUGCAAUAUUCAUCCUGUAUGGUUUUUCAAAUUUUCAACAUUCUGACACAUGCACAGUAUCUACUUCGAGAUUCUAAUAAUAUUAUCACAAUUGUAUAUAAUAAGUUCUGUUAGCUACUACUCCGCACUAUAAUUUUUAGGUGGCACGGUAGUAUUUACAUUCCGGAAUUUAGGUUGCUCUUUUGUGUACCCUACUUAAGUCAAUGUAUCUGAACAGUGUGAUUGGACAAAACAUACAGUAUCUACUGAUCAUACUUUUCCAAACUGAGGGAUGAAUCAGGUGUAGAAAAAUAUAAAAUAAUUUUACAUGCAGGUGAAAAUGAAUUUUUGAGAAUUUUUUAAAAUUUUGUAUUCACUGCUUGAUAAAAGACCUAAAAGCACUAGUGGCCUUGGGUUUAUAAAGAUAGCAAAAAAAGUAAACGGUCAUGACACAUAUUCAAAUUCAUUUCUGAAUACUAUAAUGAAAGUACUUCAGUUAACUGUGUAUGUAGAAUUUUGAGCAGUGUUAGAAAGUGGUGAAAAUUCUAAAAAGGCUAUCAUUAUCCCUAUGGGCCAGGAAAUACUACCGUGCCCCCUUUACCUAUGCACUUACUAUGAGUAAAAGGGAAAACAUAUACCAAACAAUGUAGAGGGUUACAAGAGGAAGUAGAUAAGCUCAUAAUUAAGCUUACACAUUUUAAACUUAAAACCAAAUUUCAAGAAGAUAUGAUUUGUUGUUGCUGUGAAAAAUAAAACAACAGAAAGUAGAUAAGCACAAGCUAUAGUAUGCAGAUGCUGAGGAAACUGAUAAAUAACACCCAUGUAUCCAGGAAAAAGGAAAGAGAUAAGUGACACUUCUUAGUAUAUGUCACAAUAUGAAGCUUCGUACCAAAUAUCAAGGUGAUUUGAUUUGUUAUUGAGAAGAUAAAUAAGCAAACUUUUUAUCACAUACAUCAAUGAAACAUAAAAUAAUGGAACAGCAUUCAAAUACAUUAUUAUAUUAUCAAUUAAAUCUAUAUAAUCAUAUAUAAUGUGGAUUAAAAUGAGUGAGUGGAAAGUAAAAUAUGUAUAUCAAAAUAAGACAUUCAAUGAACACAAUAACUGGCUGACUAUAUAUCAUAAAUAAAAUAAACGUAUAUACAAUGA